UACGUAGGGGGCAAGCGUUGUCCGGAUUUAUUGGGCGUAAAGAGCGUGUAGGCGGCCAUACAGGUCCGUUGUAAAAACUCGAGGCUUAACCUCGAGACGUCGAUGGAAACCGUAUGGCUAGAGUCCGGAAGAGGAGAGUGGAAUUCCUGGUGUAGCGGUGAAAUGCGCAGAUAUCAGGAAGAACACCCGUGGCGAAGGCGGCUCUCUGGGACGGUACUGACGCUGAGACGCGAAAGCGUGGGGAGCGAACAGG
rnacentral:rRNA from 1 species